rnacentral:rRNA from 1 species
UGAGGAAUAUUGCACAAUGGAGGAAACUCUGAUGCAGCAACGCCGCGUGGAGGAUGACGCAUUUCGGUGUGUAACUCCUUUUAAGAGGGAAGAUAAUGACGGUACCUCUUGAAUAAGCACCGGCUAACUCCGUGCCAGCAGCCGCGGUAAUACGGAGGGUGCAAGCGUUACUCGGAAUCACUGGGCGUAAAGGGUGCGUAGGCUGGCUUCUAAGUCAGAUGUGAAAUCCAAUGGCUUAGCCAUUGAACUGCAUUUGAAACUGGAAGCCUAGAGUUCAGAAGGGGCAGAUGGAAUUAGUGGUGUAGGGGUAAAAUCCGUAGAUAUCACUAGGAAUAUCAAAAGCGAAGGCGAUCUGCUGGGAUGAUACUGACGCUGAGGCACGAAAGCGUGGGGAGCAGACAG